rnacentral:rRNA from 1 species
GACGAACGCUGGCGGCGUGCUUAACACAUGCAAGUCGAACGGAAAGGCCUCUUUCGGGGGGUACUCGAGUGGCGAACGGGUGAGUAACACGUGAGUAACCUGCCCUUGACUUUGGGAUAACUUCAGGAAACUGGGGCUAAUACCGGAUAGGAGCUCCUGCUGCAUGGUGGGGGUUGGAAAGUUUCGGCGGUUGGGGAUGGACUCGCGGCUUAUCAGCUUGUUGGUGGGGUAGUGGCUUACCAAGGCUUUGACGGGUAGCCGGCCUGAGAGGGUGACCGGCCACAUUGGGACUGAGAUACGGCCCAGACUCCUACGGGAGGCAGCAGUGGGGAAUAUUGCACAAUGGGUGGAAGCCUGAUGCAGCAACGCCGUGUGCGGGGUGACGGCCUUCGGGUUGUAAACCGCUUUCGCUCAUGACGAAGCUUUGUGUGACGGUAGUGGGUAAAGAAGCACCGGCUAACUACGUG